rnacentral:lncRNA from 1 species
UGCGUUAAUGCUGCUCUUAUUUUCUCAUUUUAACAUUCCACAUAAUCUUCUCUCUCGUCCACCUAAUUUAUUCAACACCCAUUUCAUUAUAAACCUCUACAAUGGUUUGUUUUACAAAAUUCAACACACUACUUCACAACUCUUAAUUCAUAUUUUUGUUUUUUACAACAUAAUAAUUACAUAUUAAUAAUUAACUUGAAAACUAAAAUAACAUAACUUUUAAUAAUAUUUAUUUUAAAUUAUUAUAUUUAGCUUAUUUUUAAAAAUGAUUAUUAUUAGAAUUCAUUUAACAAAAAAGGAAUAAAACAUUAAAUUAGUUGAUUAUAAAGAAAAAAGACAUUUUUUCCUGUAUCCAAAUGAAAUGAGCGUACUCUCUAUUUUAUAUAUUAAAAAUCUUGAAUUUUGAUAUAAUUUUGAUAUUUUUUAAAAGUUUUAUUAUGUAAUAAAUGCAUUUGAAUGAGUCAAUUAGCUAGGAAUCUAUUAAAAAGUUGGAAAUUUGCAAACUACCUAAAACAGUAAAUGUGUAAGAGCUACAACAACUAAAUAGCACAUAAAAUUACCUUUGAAGCCCUUUGGUAAAUUGCUCAUUUUCUAUAAAUUAUUAGCUUAUUUGAUUUCUAAAAAUUAAACAAAAAUCUCAUUUUCUCUCUCAUUGUCGGUGUCUUCUUCUCCAUCUUCUUCCUCUCCUCUCCUCUGCUUUUUUUUUUUUUUGAUGAAUCUAAAAAAUCCAAAAAAUAUAUUCCAAUAUAAUGGUCUAUAUAAUCAUUUGAUCACACCCACCCGUUCAUCACCAGUCUUGUAUAUGAUCAUGAGUUAUAUCUUGUGGAGUUCGGAAAUUCCUCGGAUCACUUCUUAGACAAACAAUAUGACUCUGUCGUAGAACUAGUUUGCGCACAAAGCGAGAAAAGAGCAAAGAUCCGUGCCGACGUUUGUAAAGUAUGAACUGAGAUUGUAAAGUAAGAACUGAGAUUGCGGGAAACAAUGAUAUUUAUCUUGAAUAUGUUGUUGUUGUUGUUGUGAGGGGUAUGGUGAGGAUGUAGCAAGCCUUUAUGAGCAGCAUCUAUAGAUAUCUUGGAAGAAUCAUAAAGGUUUACCUAAUCUAUUGCGGAUAAAUAAUCAAUCUCAUGGUGAGUGUAGUUAUAGUGUGAGUUACCCGCUAAACAAAUGAUUAGCUGGUUACAAUACUACUUGACAAGGAAAUGUAUGUAAUAUACAGUUAAUUUAACAAUUAUAAUGGAAACAAUAAAUUAAAUACCCGAUAAGUGAAUUUGUAUAUGUACAAUAAUCUGAAUAACUUGUACAAAAAUGUAUCAACAAGC